GUCUAUGGCCAUGCUACCCUGAACAAGCCCAAUCCUGUUUGAUCUCGGAAGCUAAGCAGGGUCGGGCCUGGUUAGUACUUGAAUGGAAGACCAGGUGCUGUAGGCA
rnacentral:rRNA from 1 species